GCAUAUCCAAUAAGCGGAGGAAAAAGAAAAAUAACAAUGAUUCCCCUAGUAACGGCGAGUGAAGAGGAAAGAGCUCAAAGUUGGAAACUGUUUGGCUUAGCUAAACCGUAUUGUAAACUGUAGAAACAUUUUCCUGGCACGCCGGAUUAAUAAGUCCUUUGGAACAAGGCAUCAUGGAGGGUGAGAAUCCCGUCUUUGAUCCGAGUAGUUGUCUUUUGUGAUAUGUUUUCAAAGAGUCAGGUUGUUUGGGAAUGCAGCCUAAAUUGGGUGGUAAAUCUCACCUAAAGCUAAAUAUUUGCGAGAGACCGAUAGCGAACAAGUACCGUGAGGGAAAGAUGAAAAGAACUUUGAAAAGAGAGUUAAACAGUAUGUGAAAUUGUUAAAAGGGAACCGUUUGGAGCCAGACUGGUUUGACUGUAAUCAACCUAGAAUUCGUUCUGGGUGCACUUGCAGUCUAUACCUGCCAACAACAGUUUGAUUUGGAGGAAAAAAUUAGUAGGAAUGUAGCCUCUCGAGGUGUUAUAGCCUACUAUCAUACUCUGGAUUGGACUGAGGAACGCAGCGAAUGCCUUUAGGCGAGAUUGCUGGGUGCUUUCGCUAAUAAAUGUUAGAAUUUCUGCUUCGGGUGGUGCUAAUGUUUAAAGGAGGAACACAUCUAGUAUAUUUUUUAUUCGCUUAGGUUGUUGGCUUAAUGACUCUAAAUGACCCGUCUUGAAACACGGACCAAGGAGUCCACCAUAAGUGCAAGUAUUUGAGUGACAAACUCAUAUGCGUAAGGAAACUGAUUGAUACGAAAUCUUUUGAUGGCAGUAUCACCCGGCGUUGACGUUUUAUACUGAACUGACCGAGGUAAAGCACUUAUGAUGGGACCCGAAAGAUGGUGAACUAUGCCUGAAUAGGGUGAAGCCAGAGGAAACUCUGGUGGAGGCUCGUAGCGAUUCUGACGUGCAAAUCGAUCGUCAAAUUUGGGUAAGGGGGCGAAAGACUAAUCGAAACCAUCUAGUAGCUGGGUUCUGCGGA
rnacentral:rRNA from 1 species